ACUCCUACGGGAGGCAGCAGUGGGGAAUCUUGCGCAAUGCGCGAAAGCGUGACGCAGCAACACCGCGUGAGGGAAGACGGCCUUAGGGUUGUAAACCUCUUUCAGAUGGGACGAAGGUUGUCCGGUGAAUAGCCGAGGCAGUUGACGGUACCGUCAAGAAGAAGCUCCGGCUAACUACGUGCCAGCAGCCGCGGUAAUACGUAGGGAGCGAGCGUUGUCCGGAAUCAUUGGGCGUAAAGAGCACGUAGGUGGGUUAAUUAGUCUGCUGUGAAAAGUCAAUGGCUCAACCAUUGAAUGCCGGUGGAUACUGGUUGAUCUAGAGUACGGAAGAGGCGAGUGGGAAAUUCCUGGUGUAGCGGUGGAAUGCGCAGAUAUCAGGAGGAACACCAAUAGCGAAGGCAGCUCGCGUGGGAC
rnacentral:rRNA from 1 species